rnacentral:tRNA from 1 species
GGCCUGAUGGUCUAGGAGUAUGAUUCGUUGUUAGGGCUAAAGACUUUCGACGAGGUCCCGGGUUCAAUUCCCGGUCAGGCCC